GGACGAACGCUGGCGGCACGCUUAACACAUGCAAGUCGAACGGAGUUAUCGAGAGCUUGCUUUGAUAACUAGUGGCGGACGGGUGAGUAACACGUGAGCAAUCUGCCCUUAAGAGGGGGAUAGCAGUUGGAAACGACUGAUAAUACCGCAUAAGAUAGUAGUACCGCAUGGUACAGCUAUAAAAGAUUUAUCGCUUAAGGAUGAGCUCGCGUCUGAUUAGCUAGUUGGUGAGGUAACGGCUCACCAAGGCAACGAUCAGUAGCCGGACUGAGAGGUUGGACGGCCACAUUGGGACUGAGACACGGCCCAGACUCCUACGGGAGGCAGCAGUGGGGAAUAUUGCACAAUGGAGGAAACUCUGAUGCAGCGAUGCCGCGUGAGGGAAGAAGGUUUUAGGAUUGUAAACCUCUGUUGACAGGGACGAUAAUGACGGUACCUGUUGAGGAAGCUCCGGCUAACUACGUGCCAGCCGCCGC
rnacentral:rRNA from 1 species